GACGAACGCUGGCGGCGUGCUUAACACAUGCAAGUCGAACGGAAAGGCCCUGCUUUUGUGGGGUGCUCGAGUGGCGAACGGGUGAGUAACACGUGAGUAACCUGCCCUUGACUUUGGGAUAACUUCAGGAAACUGGGGCUAAUACCGGAUAGGAGCUCCUGCUGCAUGGUGGGGGUUGGAAAGUUUCGGCGGUUGGGGAUGGACUCGCGGCUUAUCAGCUUGUUGGUGGGGUAGUGGCUUACCAAGGCUUUGACGGGUAGCCGGACUGAGAGGGUGACCGGCCACAUUGGGACUGAGAUACGGCCCAGACUCCUACGGGAGGCAGCAGUGGGGAAUAUUGCACAAUGGGCGGAAGCCUGAUGCAGCAACGCCGCGUGCGGGAUGACGGCCUUCGGGUUGUAAACCGCUUUCGCCUGUGACGAAGCGUGAGUGACGGUAAUGGGUAAAGAAGCACCGGCUAACUACGUG
rnacentral:rRNA from 1 species